ACGACCUUACUUGAACAGGAUCUGUUCUAUAGGAAGUACCUCUGUAUCCUUGAUUUCUAAGGAGACAGUCCCUGAACCCUGGUUGAUGACUCAUUACUGUGUGAUCUGAGCGUGAUUAACAGCGUGGUUUGUCUUCGGAUUCUCCGUGCUGUAGAGGAUCGUUACCUAGCCUGGUCUCGACCACGGUUAGGGUGGUCGCACGGUUGUCUGACAGGUC
rfam:Brassica napus, WGS project CCCW01000000 data, contig: 11759